AUCUGAAAGAGACUGAGCUUGAACAGUGAGGACUACAUUAACCAGGGGGCUGGAUCUGCAUUGCUCACUCUUCAACAGAGAUUGGAACCCAGCUGACUGUGAGUGAGUGUGGAAGAGCCCCCUGCUGGAGGCAAAUGACUGGAGCCCUGUGCAUAUGCUGGGCCAUGAGGAAGAGCACAAGUAUAUUCUCUGGAACAGGGCUCUUCAGGGCCUGGGCUAAGUCAGCCAGCACCCUUCUCCUCCUCACCCCACCCAAUGGUGCUCAUGCAUCACUAGCAGGGAGAAUCCAGCGUCAUAGUCAUGCUCUUCCCUUUUAAAACUGACCAGGGACUUCCCACAGAGGCAUGAAAAAUAUCAGGGUCUCGAAACCAGACUAAUGCUAGGACUAUUGCAGUAGUGUUAUUUGCUGGAGACAAAUGAUGUUACUUCACUCAGUGGUUGCAUAGGAAGAAAACCGGUACUGAUCUUCAUGAGAUCUUCAUCCUGGAACCUUAGCUCCUACCACACUCUUUGAAACAUGGGAGACAUUCAAUAAGCAUUUGUUCUUUGAAUAUCAUCAGUUAUACUCUGUGCUUCUUAUAGAAGCAUGUGCAUGUUUUAGUUAAUCGCCUUCCUAAAGAAGACGAUGGGUGUUUUCACUCUGUGAAGCCCUCUACCAACUUAUUCUAAAGUCAGAAAGGAGGUGAAAACCUGCCUUAACGUAUAGAAAGGAACAGUUUAGUGACCAAAAAGUUUGACAAGAACUGGAACUAUAUACAAGAAAUACCAACCGAAUCACAGAACUAUUCCUGGAGCCCCCACUUCCAGUGUCCUUCACUCCAUCCUCUCCUUCAACUUCAAUUUAACUACAAAAAACAUUCAUUAACAUGUGUGCCGAUGUUUCCGAUUUUCCUGCCCUUUUCCCUUCUGUGACUUCCAAAGUACCUGAGGGUGCAUUCCGCUGUUGCUCUUAUUUCUCUUUUCCUAACCACAAAUACUGAAGCCCCUGGUGAGAGGCUCCUGGCACGAGUGUGAUAGGCUCAUGGUAGGUCGUCAUGAGAAGCUUUCCAGGCACAUCCCAUGGCACCUGCUAGUUAUGCCCAGUAAUUUCUUGCUGUCCCUGUUUUAGAUACAUUAUAUUUGCGAUCACUGAUAAACCUUUUUUUUAUGAUUCUGAAUUUUUGAUUCUAUUUUAAAAAUCUUUUUCUAUUUCAAGGUCAGGAAGAUAUUCUCUAAUAUUGUCUUCUAGAAGUUUUAUUGUAUUGAUUUUUAUAGAUAGAUAUGUUUUCUAUUGGAAUUAAUUUUGUGUAUAAAGUGAGAUAGGUGUCAAAUUUCUUUCUUUCUGUCUUUCUUUUUUUUUCAGUAAGGAUAUACAACUGAUCCAGCAGCAUUUAUUGACAGGCUGAUUCUUUCUGGGUCACUAAAUUGACAAUUAUUAGAUCACAAAAGAGGCACAAAAGAGAACAUACUGUAUAGUUUAAUUUGUAUAAUGUUACUAAGCAUGUUUAGGAAUAAAUAUUAGAUUUUGAAGGUGUAUUGAGAAGCAAUGAAGGGAUUGCUAUGAAAGUCUGAUGGUGAGUUGUCUUGAUGGGAAGGGGGAGCAAUGUGGACAGGAGGAGGCACGGGAGAGCUUCUGGUGCUGGCCUCGUGCUGUUUCUUGAUUUGGGUGGUGGGUUCAUGGAUGUUGGCAUUGUAAUGAUUGAUUAAAUUGUACAUUUAUGCUUUAUGUGUCUUACUAUAUGUGUGUUCUGUGUCACUAUACAAUGUUAAAAAUGUAACACAUUUGGUUUCCUAAUCAUAUCCCAGUAAUAAAUAUUUAUUUAUUU